rnacentral:rRNA from 1 species
AUACAGAGGGUGCGAGCGUUAAUCGGAAUUACUGGGCGUAAAGCGCGCGUAGGCGGCUUAUUAAGUCAGAUGUGAAAUCCCCGGGCUCAACCUGGGAACUGCAUCUGAUACUGGUAAGCUAGAGUUUUGGAGAGGGAAGUAGAAUUUCAGGUGUAGCGGUGAAAUGCAUAGAGAUCUGAAGGAAUACCAGUGGCGAAGGCGACUUCCUGGCCAAAAACUGACGCUGAGGUGCGAAAGCGUGGGUAGCAAACGGAAUUAGAUACCCCGGUAGUCC